rnacentral:rRNA from 1 species
AUUGCCUACGGGGGGCAGCAGUGGGGGAUAUUGCACAAUGGGCGCAAGCCUGAUGCAGCGACGCCGCGUGAGCGAAGAAGUAUUUCGGUAUGUAAAGCUCUAUCAGCAGGGAAGAAAAUGACGGUACCUGACUAAGAAGCUCCGGCUAAAUACGUGCCAGCAGCCGCGGUAAUACGUAUGGAGCAAGCGUUAUCCGGAAUUACUGGGUGUAAAGGGAGCGUAGACGGCAUAGCAAGUCUGAAGUGAAAGCCCGUGGCUCAACCGCGGAACUGCU